rnacentral:rRNA from 1 species
UUCUUGAGUGUGUACUUGUUAAGCCUUUUAAGAAAAAAGUUAUUAACUUAAGGAAUUAUAACAAAGAAGCAACACGUAAAUGGAUUUUCCAUUUUUUAGUGUGUAUCAAUCGAGUUUCUGACCUAUCAGCUUUUGAUGUUAGGGUAUUGGCCUAACAUGGCUAUGACGGGUAACGGGGAAUUAGAGUUCGAUUCCGGAGAGGGAGCCUGAGAAAUAGCUACCACAUCUAAGGAAGGCAGCAGGCGCGUAAAUUACCCAAUUCUAAAGAAGAGAGGUAGUGACAAGAAAUAACAAUACAAGGCCAAUCUGGCUUUGUAAUUGGAAUCAUGGGAAUUUAAAACCUUCCCAAAACUCAAUUGGAGGGCAAGUCUGGUGCCAGCAGCCGCGGUAAUUCCAGCUCCAAUAGCGUAUAUUAAAAUUGUUGCAGUUAAAACGCUCGUAGUUGAAUUUCAAAGAAUCGAUAUUUUAAGUAACGCUUUGUAGAUUAAUCCACAUAACUGAUACUACGUAUCGACUUUGUGCGCAUUUUUCUACUUAUGUGUCCUUUUAAUUAAAAUGAUUCUUUUUAAGAUCUUUCUUUUUUGCUUCGGCAUUUUAGGAGAUCUUGUUACUUUGAGUAAAUUAGAGUGUUCAAAGCAAACAGAUUAUAGCAUCUUUAUGCGUUUGAAUACUACAGCAUGGAAUAACAAAAUUGAACAAGUCAGAAUUUUGUUCUUUUUUCUUAUUUUGGCUUAGUUACGAUUAAUAGGAGUAGCUUGGGGGCAUUUGUAUUCAGAUGUCAGAGGUGAAAUUCUUAGAUUUUCUGGAGACAAACAACUGCGAAAGCAUUUGCCUAAAAUACUUCCAUUAAUCAAGAACGAAAGUUAAGGGAGUGAAGACGAUCAGAUACCGUCGUAAUCUUAACCAUAAACUAUGCCGACUAGGC